UACAGAGGGGGCAAGCGUUGUUCGGAAUUACUGGCGUAAAGGGCGCGCAGGCGGUCCUUCAAGUCAGGCGUGAAAGCCCCGGGCUCAACCUGGGAAUAGCGCUUGAGACUGAGGGACUUGAGUUCGGGAGAGGAGAGCGGAAUUCCCAGUGUAGAGGUGAAAUUCGUAGAUAUUGGGAAGAACACCGGUGGCGAAGGCGGCGACCUGGUCCGUGACUGACGCUGAGGCGCGAAAGCGUGGGGAGCAAACAGG
rnacentral:rRNA from 1 species